UACGAAGGUGGCAAGCGUUACUCGGAAUUACUAGGCGUAAAGGGCAGGUAGGUGGUUCGGUAAGUCUGUUGUGUAAGCUCCCGGCUUAACUGGGAGAGGUCAACGGAAACUACCGGACUUGAGUAUAGGAGAGGUUACUGGAAUUCCCGGUGUAGCGGUGAAAUGCGCAGAGAUCGGGAGGAACACCAAUGGCGAAAGCAGGUAACUGGACUAUUACUGACACUCAGCUGCGAAAGCUAGGGGAGCAAACAGG
rnacentral:rRNA from 1 species